rnacentral:lncRNA from 1 species
AAACUAGCCACGUGGAGCAGACGGGAGUCACGGCACAGUUUGGCUGGGGAUAGACUGGGAUCCAGGCUAUUUGGAAUGUGGUGGGAAAUGCUCCCUUGUUCUCCCCCAGUCAAGAGGACUGUCACAAGCAAGAGUCACUAGAAGCAGCAGCAGCAUUUUUCCAGAAAAAUGAAAUCCUCUGGGAUCAGACUGAAUGGAACAAAGGCACAGGGGAACUUUAUAUUUACUUUAAAUGGAACCGUCAUAGUCUUUGAGGUAUUUAGGUAUUCCUAGACCUGGAAAAUCAGCAUUUGUAAAACGCCACAUGCUUAACAGAGUUUGGUCUUCAUUGUACACUACACUCUGGUAUACCAGAAGACAAAGAAGUGCGGGGUUCUUGCUCAAGAUCACAAGAUAGAUCAGUAGUAUGAAAGUAAUUCAGACAUGUUCAGUGCCUACAUGCUCUAACUUUGCAGAAGUCCUCUGGGACUACUUCUUC